rnacentral:rRNA from 1 species
GACGAACGCUGGCGGCGUGCUUAACACAUGCAAGUCGAACGGAAAGGCCUAGCUUGCUGGGUACUCGAGUGGCGAACGGGUGAGUAACACGUGGGUGAUCUGCCCCUGACUUUGGGAUAAGCCUGGGAAACUGGGUCUAAUACCGGAUAUUCAUUUUUCCUCGCAUGGGGAUUUGUGGAAAGCUUUUGCGGUUGGGGAUGGGCCCGCGGCCUAUCAGCUUGUUGGUGGGGUAAUGGCCUACCAAGGCGACGACGGGUAGCCGACCUGAGAGGGUGAUCGGCCACACUGGGACUGAGACACGGCCCAGACUCCUACGGGAGGCAGCAGUGGGGAAUAUUGCACAAUGGGCGCAAGCCUGAUGCAGCGACGCCGCGUGAGGGAUGACGGCCUUCGGGUUGUAAACCUCUUUCAGCGCCGACGAAGCGCAAGUGACGGUAGGAGCAGAAGAAGCACCGGCCAACUACGUG